rnacentral:rRNA from 1 species
UGGCGAGUGGCGAACGGGUGAGUAAUAUAUCGGAACGUACCCUGGAGUGGGGGAUAACGUAGCGAAAGUUACGCUAAUACCGCAUACGAUCUACGGAUGAAAGUGGGGGAUCGCAAGACCUCAUGCUCGUGGAGCGGCCGAUAUCUGAUUAGCUAGUUGGUAGGGUAAAAGCCUACCAAGGCAUCGAUCAGUAGCUGGUCUGAGAGGACGACCAGCCACACUGGAACUGAGACACGGUCCAG